ensembl:lncRNA
AUGUGGAACUAUGGAGUCUUGCUCUUGUCACCCACGCUGGAGUGUAAUGGUGCGAUCUCAGCUCACUGCAACUUCUGCCUCCUGAGUUCAAGUGAUUCUCCUCCCUCAGCCUCCCUAGUAGCUGGGAUUACAGGCCACCACUACCAUGUCUGGCUAAUUUUUUAUAUUUUGAGUAGAGACAGGGUUUCACCAUGUUGGCCAGGCUGAUCUCAACCUCGUGACCUCAGGUGAUCCACCCGCCCUGGUCUCCCAAAGUGCUGGAAUUACAGGCGCUAAAUCACUUUCCAUGAGAUAGAAAGUACUUUCAAAGACUAAGCUUCACCAUUGUAAGCUAAACACUUGGUAAUUUUAAGAGAUUUAUCUUUAGUCUAAGAUCUGAGAACAUAAACCUCAUUGCCCUCAUUCUUUAAAACCUUCUACUAUACCGUAUACUGCCUCCUAAUAAUAUGACUAGGAAUAUCAUACUCAAGCAUCCAUUUAAAGUACAUGAAACCAUUUUAUCCAAAUGUGAGAAUUCUGAAAUCUUAGUAUCCACAGGGAUAUUAGCUGUAAUAUAACUGUUAUUGGUUGAUUUGUGUCCCCAAAAGGAUAUGUUGAAGUCCUAAACCUCAGUACCUGUGAACGUGGCGAUAAUUGGAAAUAGAGUCUUUGUGUAGGUAAUCAAGUUAAGGUGACAUCAUACUGAAUUAGAUGAGCCCUAAUCUAAUCUGACUGGCGUCCUAAUAAGAAGAGACACAGACACAGACAUAGAGGGAGAACGCCAUGUGAUGACAGAGGCAGAGAUUGGAGUGAUCCAGCUGCAAGUCAUAGAACACCAUGGAUUUAACCACCAGAAGCUAGGAAGAAGCAAGGAAGGAUUCCACUCAGAUAUCAGAGGAAGCACAGCCCUGCUGACACCUUGGUUGCAGACUUCCGGCCUCCAGAACUGAGAGAAUAAAUUUCUGUUGUUUUAAGCCAUCCAGUUUGGGUAGUUUGUUACAACAGCCCUUGAAACUAAUAUAAUUACCCAGGUCUUACUUGAUGUUUUCAAUAUCCAAAAUUGUGCUUGGGUAAUUCCUGAAAUAGGAGACUUACUACCUCCAAAGGGAGUAUAUUCAUACUAGUAGAUCCCAAUGUGCUGGAAUGUCUCAGGAGGAUUUUCAGUUUGCUUCCUGGACCUUUUGCUUAUUAUUCUCAAAUGGAAGACCAUGACAUCUUUAAAUCCCACAGUUUCAGCAACUUUUAAUAAUAAUUUACAUGAGGGUGUUUCUACAGCAAAUGAGAAUUGAAACAUUGAGUCUCCAAGUGUCAGGCAUAUGGGACUUGAUGGAUAGUUUCCCUGAAUUAACUAGAGACACUGGUAUUAUUUCAGUGCAAACUUACUCUAAUUGAAGGAUGGUUUACAUUUGUAAUUACAUCCUUUCAAGAAGAGGGAAAUUACGUGGCUGCCUUCCUCCUACCCAGGCCUAAUUAUAUGAAAGGAAAGGUUUGCCAGUUUUCUGUUUCCCUGGUUGUCCUGGCACCUAUUCGUGUGGAAGACAAGAAUAGGUAUCAAAAGCCCUAACGCUGGAUUAAAAGAAUUAAAAGUCAAAGCAGCUAAGAAUCCAAGGAAUAUUAUGGGAUUAAGAGAAUGAGAAAGCUGCCUGUAAAGUGAUUAAACUUCUCCUAGCUAUAGAGUAAAAGAGAAAAACAUCACUUAAGUUUAGGAUUACCAUCUCUCAAGAAAGGACAACAAAAGAUUUUUGUGUGUUUUUACUUUCCAAUGCCCCAUGACGUUGAUGCAAGUUGUAAUUUGAAGAUCGUUUCACUUUUUCAGUUAGCAAAGUUUCGGAGAAAACAGAAAACGGUUGCCAGGAAAGUAAAUGAAUACUUCAGACAGCUGCCAACAGAGGAAAACAAAUGUUAUCUCUAAAAGAAGUCAAUGUUUACAAAGGUAGAAAUAUAUAUAGGAUGCUUGGAUAGCCACUUAAGAUGUUAAUCAAUGGGAACACUGAAAAUUUCUAUAAAUGAAAAAGUUGCAGUGGUUAUUAUUCACCUCUCCCUUGCUUCUUCACCAAUUUAAACCAUCUCCCCUACCUGCAACACAACACAAAUGAGUUAUUUGUAAGGCAAAGGGAAUUAAAGAAAGCAAAAACAUAAUUGCCAUGCAUUAUCCUUUACAUAAAAUAACAGAUAGAGAAUAGAAUAGCUUAUUAGCUUUGAUUUUUAGAGUUUUACCUAGAACACUAUUUUAUAUCAUUAAAAACGUGAUGUAGUACCAUGGACUUUGCCUCACCUGUUCAGCUCCAUGGUACUGUCAGCAUCAUGAUGCUCUCGACAGCGAAGGAUAUCCCUGGGGGAAGACAUGACUGUUCCCCUCAAAGAAGUUUUCAAAUACUGAAGUAAGAGCUCUCAGAUGGGCUACUGGGUCUUCUGCAUUUACCUCAUUUGGGUUUUCUGAACAAAAUUCCUUCAGCAUAAUUUCUAACAGACUCACCUGGACUAACAUGGAAAACAAAAAUCAAUAUUCUUUUUUUUUUUUUUUUUUUUUUUGAGAUGGAAUUUCGCUCUUGUCGCCCAGGCUAGAGUGCAAUGGCGCAAUCUCGGCUCACUGCAACCUCCACCUCCCGGGUUCAAGUGAUUCUCCUGCCUCGGCCUCCCACACAGCUGGGAUUAUAGGUGCCCACCACCACACCCAACUAAUUUUUGUAUUUUUAGUAGAGAGGGGGUUUCACCAUAUUGGUCAGGCUGGUCUCAAACUCCUGAAUUCAGGUGAUUCACUCACCUCGGCCUCCCAAAGUGCUGGGAUUACAGGCGUGAGCCACCACGCCUGGCCCAAUAUUCAUUUUAAAGGCAGGCCCUAUCCCUAUUCCACGUCACCCAGGCCUGCACAGAACUGGGGGAGGGGGAAGAUUUGGAGAUAUUCCAGCCAUCACUGCGUCCCUGA